rnacentral:lncRNA from 1 species
UGGACGGAGGCCUGCUGCCCACCCAGGAGGCCCACGGUGACGGGAGGGGAAGAGGGUCCUCGGUCGGCCGUGCACACUGAGGGAGACCAGCGGCGUCCAGAGCUGGCGGGACCUGUGGGCACUCCGCUGCGGGGAGCGGACAGCUGGCCGGGGCCUGCAGCACUCUGGGCAGGGAGGCCCCUUGGGUGGCAGGCGUCUCAUGGGCCCCUGAGGUGGGGAGCGGCCGGAUGGGGCUGUCGUCGUGUGUCCGUCCGCACCCUCUCUGGUCAGGGUCCCGCCCGGCCCGGCAGGCCCAGCGUCCUGGGCUGGGUCUCUCAGGGUGAAGGCCUCUGCACCGUCGUGCGCUCCCUCCGGUCCGUUUUUCUGUCUCACGCCCCGAAACCCAGCGUUUGUCGGCUGGGGGAGCCGGAACUGGGUGCGUGGGGUCCUGCUGCCCCCGUCAGCGGCCCUGGAGCAGGAGUGGGGGUCGGCGUUGUGGCUGCUCCCCCAAGCCUGUCUCCCCGUGGGGGGGUGCGGGGGUGCCCCCGAGGCUGGGUGAGGACAGGCCGGCCUCCCGGCCUCUGUGGGGAAGAGGGUGUCCAUUCUUUGCCCUCCAGGGUCCAGCCCAGGCUGAGCGUGAGGCAUCUGGGCCAACCGUGUGGAGGACGCCACAGACAUCUCCUUUCUCUGGGGCCCCCCCCAUUCCCGCCCCCAGGAGAUGCGUCCCCAGCCGCCGCGGCACCUGCCCCAUCCGCCCUCUGCGGCAGAGGGGGGGCGAGCCGGGGCCUGCCCAGUGCCCCCGGAAGUCUUGGCCGCCUUUGGGGGCGUGGUGGUGUCAGCAGAGUGAAGCAGGCACCCUGGUGGUCCUCCCCCUGGGGUACCCCUGGUGGUGGGUUUGUAGGUCUGCCCCCCACCCCACACCCAGUGCCUUCUGCAGCUGGACACACCCCGUCCACACCCAGCCCGCCCCGCUGCCCUGGACCACUCUGGAGCCCAGGAGGGGGCCCUGUGGGGUCUGGCCUCGGGGUCCCCCGGCUGCCCUACCCCAAGCCAGAAGCCCCCGGCAUCCCCUCCCCCGGCCUCCUGCGUCACCAGGCCCAUGGCGUCCUGGGGCCGAGCCCCCCUUCUUCUCCUCGGGUGCUGUCAUCGUAA